UCAUUCAGAUUCGCCAUCAUACGCUCAACCGUGCAUUUGAUAUGCAUAUAUAUGCAUCACGAGCCACGGUAUGACUGUAUGAUGGCGAUACCGAUUGG
rfam:Triticum aestivum genome assembly, contig: Triticum_aestivum_CS42_TGACv1_scaffold_485907_6AS